rnacentral:rRNA from 1 species
UACGUAGGGGCCGAGCGUUGUCCGGAGUUACUGGGCGUAAAGCGCGCGCAGGCGGCUCGUCAAGCCUGACGUGAAAGCCCCCCGGCUCAACCGGGGGGGGUCGUCGGGGACUGGCGGGCUUGAGGUCGGCAGGGGUUGGUGGAAUUCCCGGUGUAGUGGUGAAAUGCGUAGAGAUCGGGAGGAAUACCGAUGGCGAAGGCAGGUCUCUGGGCUGACACUGACGCUCAUGCACGGAAGCGUGGGGAGCAAACAGG